CUACAGGCUUAACACAUGCAAGUCGAGGGGCAGCAUGGUCUUAGCUUGCUAAGGCCGAUGGCGACCGGCGCACGGGUGAGUAACACGUAUCCAACCUGCCGUCUACUCUUGGACAGCCUUCUGAAAGGAAGAUUAAUACAAGAUGGCAUCAUGAGUCCGCAUGUUCACAUGAUUAAAGGUAUUCCGGUAGACGAUGGGGAUGCGUUCCAUUAGAUAGUAGGCGGGGUAACGGCCCACCUAGUCUUCGAUGGAUAGGGGUUCUGAGAGGAAGGUCCCCCACAUUGGAACUGAGACACGGUCCAAACUCCUACGGGAGGCAGCAGUGAGGAAUAUUGGUCAAUGGGCGAGAGCCUGAACCAGCCAAGUAGCGUGAAGGAUGACUGCCCUAUGGGUUGUAAACUUCUUUUAUAAAGGAAUAAAGUCGGGUAUGCAUACCCGUUUGCAUGUACUUUAUGAAUAAGGAUCGGCUAACUCCGUGCCAGCAGCCGCGGUAAUACGGAGGAUCCGAGCGUUAUCCGGAUUUAUUGGGUUUAAAGGGAGCGUAGAUGGAUGUUUAAGUCAGUUGUGAAAGUUUGCGGCUCAACCGUAAAAUUGCAGUUGAUACUGGAUAUCUUGAGUGCAGUUGAGGCAGGCGGAAUUCGUGGUGUAGCGGUGAAAUGCUUAGAUAUCACGAAGAACUCCGAUUGCGAAGGCAGCCUGCUAAGCUGCAACUGACAUUGAGGCUCGAAAGUGUGGGUAUCAAACAGGAUUAGAUACCCUGGUAGUCCACACGGUAAACGAUGAAUACUCGCUGUUUGCGAUAUACUGCAAGCGGCCAAGCGAAAGCGUUAAGUAUUCCACCUGGGGAGUACGCCGGCAACGGUGAAACUCAAAGGAAUUGACGGGGGCCCGCACAAGCGGAGGAACAUGUGGUUUAAUUCGAUGAUACGCGAGGAACCUUACCCGGGCUUAAAUUGCAGAUGAAUUACGGUGAAAGCCGUAAGCCGCAAGGCAUCUGUGAAGGUGCUGCAUGGUUGUCGUCAGCUCGUGCCGUGAGGUGUCGGCUUAAGUGCCAUAACGAGCGCAACCCUUGUUGUCAGUUACUAACAGGUUCCGCUGAGGACUCUGACAAGACUGCCAUCGUAAGAUGUGAGGAAGGUGGGGAUGACGUCAAAUCAGCACGGCCCUUACGUCCGGGGCUACACACGUGUUACAAUGGGGGGUACAGAGGGCCGCUACCACGCGAGUGGAUGCCAAUCCCCAAAACCUCUCUCAGUUCGGACUGGAGUCUGCAACCCGACUCCACGAAGCUGGAUUCGCUAGUAAUCGCGCAUCAGCCACGGCGCGGUGAAUACGUUCCCGGGCCUUGUACACACCGCCCGUCAAGCCAUGGGAGCCGGGGGUACCUGAAGUGCGUAACCGCGAGGAGCGCCCUAGGGUAAAACUGGUGACUGGGGCUAAGUAGUAA
rnacentral:rRNA from 1 species